AUCCAGUCUUCCAGCCGCAAAAUAUUCUUGGAGCCUCCUAAGUGAUCUGCCUGCCUCCCCGCUUGCCACACUGAUCCUGUUUAAAUAUAUCGAUCUUGAGAAGACCCC